ACGCUAUUAACGGUGAACUGUCUGUAUCCGCUCCUCGAGGGCGAAUGCACUGGUAAAAGGGAGGGAGAGAAUGAGGGAAACAAGAAACACGUAAUCACCCAAAUAACCGUUUUAGUCCUUUCCCCCUGGAUUUGUGUCUUAAGAUAGCCUACAGUAUAUACUUCAAAGGAUACUCCGGAGGCCACGAGACUGUUCCAAUGGGACUUGAAGGGCAAUGCAGGGGAGUGGAAAGCAAUGAAGCUGCUACCUAGCUGGAUUUGAACUUCUAUCAACCAAUGAAAAAACUAUACACUGUAUAUUCAUUCUGGCACCAUGGCAACCCUUUUCUGGUUUAUAUGAGAACAGUAUCUGUUCAGGAAUAUAACUUUAUCACUUGUUCAAAUCAUUUAUCCCAAAUAUUUGCCUCAAAUAUCUUCGAAAUAUAACAUUAUUAACUCAGCCAGUAAAUAUGCAAACAUAUUUGCCAUAUCAAUUGCUUUUUUUCUUUCACUAUUUUACUAAAAUAAUAAUAUGUAUUGUGUUGAUACGUUGUGUUGUCAAUAA
ensembl:lncRNA